AAGUCGUAACAAGGUUUCCGUAGGUGAACCUGCGGAAGGAUCAUUAAAAAACUAUGCACAGUGAACAUGUCGUCUCCGUAAUGGCAUGGGAUCUGAUGUUGUAUUUAACCACCUGUUUACCUUUACCUGUUGCUUCCGUGGAAUUACGGGUGCUCUUCCUGUUCGCAGGCUUGAGUUACCUUCCACGGGUGUAUUUAAAAAAUUGUUUUGUACUAUUGUCUGAUAUAAAAUUUUAAUUAAAGUUAAAACUUUCAACAACGGAUCUCUAGGUUCUC
rnacentral:misc_RNA from 1 species